rnacentral:rRNA from 1 species
UACAUGGGGUGCAAGCGUUGCUCGGAUUCAUUGGGCGUAAAGCGCGCGUAGGCGGUUCGGUAUGUCGGAUGUGAAAGCCCUCGGCUUAACCGGGGAAGUGCAUCCGAAACUGGCGAGCUUGGGUACCAAAGAGGGUCGCGGAAUUCCCGGUGUAGAGGUGAAAUUCGUAGAUAUCGGGAGGAACACCAGCGGCGAAGGCGGCGACCUGGGUGGAUACUGACGCUGAGGUGCGAAAGCGUGGGGAGCAAACAGG